UGUGUCAAGAAGAAACAGCCGUUUCUCACCUUGCAGCGAGAGCUAGUAGGGUUUUUUAUUACUGGAUAUUAGGAUUAGUGGUAAUAUAGAGCGGCUUUUCAAGCCGCUCUUUUAUUAUUUA
rfam:Clostridium fallax strain DSM 2631 genome assembly, contig: Ga0131101_113